rnacentral:lncRNA from 1 species
ACUGCUUCCAUCGCUCCUGUCGACGCUCGCACACAAGCAGAGCUCCGCUCCAGCCGCUCCCCAGCUGCUCUGCGCAGCCGCCGCGCUCACAUGCGGCUGGGGGUCUUGGUGACGAUGUGGUCAUAGCACAGGGUGGUGAGGAAGUCCGAGUAGGCGUCGCCGGUGAUGGUGCUCUGGAACAGCUGAGCAGCCAGAGGGUACUUGGAGCGGGCGAAGCGCUCGGCGCCCAUCUGUGCAUGGUAGGCGGGGGCAGCAGGCGGGCGGUUGAGGAAGGAGUUGUAACUUGUGGAAAGUUCCGGCGCUCAUGUUAUCUACGGUCCAUUAUGUUUGCUAUGGCGUCCAUUUCUGCUACUAGUAGAGGAUGGCUAUAAGCAACUGAGUUGAGCUUGGUACCCGAGGGGCCUCAAAAAGGCACGAGGGUAGCACAAGCACGACCAAUCAUAUCAAGCAAAGUAUGUGCCUUACAGGGACUUGCUUGGGAACAGAGAAACCGACUACAAAACAGGUCCGGAUCCCCCAAUCCCUCUGCCCCUUCCCCCCUCACCUUGCUCUUCAGCUGGUCCAGCUCCUGCGCCAGCAGGUCGUUCACCCAGGCCGCCGUCACCACACGGCCGUCGCGAGUGCGCGCGUGGUGCCGCACCCACUGCCACACAGCAGACCUGCGCGGCAGGCAGCGCGCAGAGUGAGGGGGCGGGCGCACGUGUCGCAGCGUGUGGGUCGCGAGCGGUGCUGCCAGGGGUUUACGCUCACGCACGGGGCGGUGAGAGACCCUUACCUCCCUUCUGCCAUGCCGUGCCGUGCAAAGCGAAAUCUCGCAACUCCCACGCACAAUACGGUACGCCCCCCUCCAUCAUCGCCCCGUCGCCCCCACAUCCCCCAGCAGCUGCCCCCAGCUUCCUGCAGCAACAGCCCGCCCCGCCCCACACCAUCCCUCCCGCCCGCGCCUGCUGAUCUCGGCGGUGGCGGCGUCCUCCAUGAGGUUGUGGAUGGGCACGCAGCCCACGCCCCGCAGCCAGUUCUCCAUGUAGGCCAGGCCCACCUGCGCAGCAAGACGCGGAGAGGCAGAGGGAGGUGUGUGUGUGUGUGUGUGUGUGUGUGUGUGUGUGUGUGUGUGUGUGUGUUGGUGCUGAAGACGCAGGCAGGGGCCCUGGUUGUUCAGCGUGUGCCCUUCCCUUGCACACCCAAGCACCGUGUAGGCCCCUCCUGACCCCCGCCCAGCUAGCCCCAGCCUCCAGCGGCCCUCACCGACAGGUUGUCGCGCAGACCCUUCUCCGUGAUGCCGCCCUCCGCCAGCAGCGCCCCGCCGCGCACGUCCAGCAGGUUGUGCGCCGUCACCGUCACGUCGUCGCGCCGCACGUGCAGCUGGUUGGGCGUGGGCAUGUGCCUGCGCACGUAGGCAAGCGGCGGGCGCGGAGCAUUGGUGGGUGUGGGGCUCGGGAAUUGGCAGGCGCGGGAAACAGCGUCGAACAAGCCAUCGUGGCAGCGCAGGGCACCAGCGCAACCCUACAUGCAUGCAUCUUGAUACACGCCCACACGCACGCGCAUAAACACACAGGCCGCGCACACUCACUUGUUGAAAAUCUCCAUGGCGAUGGGCACCAGGGCGGGGUGCGCCACCCACGUGCCGUCGUGCCCGGCCACCACCUCGCGCUCCUUGUCGCCGCGGACCUGCGCCGUGUGCAACGGUGGUGGAGCAGUCCGGAGGAAGCAAACGGCAGUCGAGAACUAGGUACCACUAUACACGGCAGCCAACACCCAGGGCGGAAGAAGCGCGGCUAGGUGUUGCAAGAUGUUCAAGCAGGGCCGGCAGUCCGUGCUCACCGCACCGGGACUGCCCUGCACCAGGGGCCGUAGGUGUGCCUCACCUUGGCCAGCGCGGCGGCGUUUGCUGCGGGGUCGUCCUUGAUGGGGAUCUGCGCCGCCAUGCCGCCCAUGGCGUGCACGCCGCUGUAGGGACACACGCACACAAACACACAGGAAAGAAAAAGGGAGGGAGGGACGAGUUGAGCAGGCCAAAAUGCAGCACUUGCACGUUACACACCUCCCGUGCCUUCCCACCUCAACGUUGCCGAGACUGCAACGCGCCGUGCUUAUUGUCAAUAAUCCUACAGCCCCGCCCUCCACUAGCGUCCACCCGGCUUCCCACCAUGCAACCCCGAUCCCACCCGCAACUACCCUGCCCCCCCUCCGGCUCCCCUCGCUCACCGCUUGUGGCAGGUCUUGAUGAGCAGUCGCACGUAGGCGUCCAUGAAGGGCGAGGUCAUGGUGACGGCGGAGCGGUCUGGCAGCACAAACUGCGGGUGGUUGCGCAGCUUCUUGAUGAAGCUGAAGAUGUAGUCCCAGCGGCCGCAGUUCAGGC